UACGGGGGGAGCAAGCGUUGUUCGGAUUUACUGGGCGUAAAGGGCGCGUAGGCGGUCAGCACAAGUCAGUUGUGAAAUCUCCGGGCUUAACCCGGAAAGGUCAACUGAUACUGUGCGACUAGAGUGCGGAAGGGGCAACUGGAAUUCUCGGUGUAGCGGUGAAAUGCGUAGAUAUCAGGAGGAACACCAAUUGCGAAGGCAGCUCGCUGGGACGUUACUGACGCUGAGACGCGAAAGCGUGGGGAGCAAACAGG
rnacentral:rRNA from 1 species